GACGAACGUUGGCGGCGUGCUUAAUACAUGCAAGUCAACUGAAGCAGUGGUAGCAAUAUCGCUGUGGAGGUGGCGCACGGGUGAGUAACACGUAGGUAAUCUGCCUUCAGGUCUGGCAUAACUCCGGGAAACCGGGGCUAAUAGCAGAUGAUGCAGCGGCUCGACAUCGAGACAGUUGUUAAAGCUAUGGCGCCUGAAGAUGAGCCUGCGUCUGAUUAGCUAGUUGGCGGGGUAACGGCCCACCAAGGCAACGAUCAGUAGCUGGUCUGAGAGGAUGAUCAGCCACACUGGAACUGAGGCACGGUCCAGACUCCUACGGGAGGCAGCAGUAAGGAAUAUUGCUCAAUGGGAGAAAUCCUGAAGCAGCAACGCCGCGUGAGGGACGAAGGGCUUUUGCUUGUAAACCUCUGUAGUGAGAGAAAAAAAUCCCAAUCUUUGGGACAUGAUGGUAUCUCAAAAGUAAGCCCCGGCUAACUACGUG
rnacentral:rRNA from 1 species